rnacentral:rRNA from 1 species
UACGUAGGGCGCAAGCGUUAUCCGGAAUUAUUGGGCGUAAAGGGCUCGUAGGCGGUCUGUCGCGUCGAAAGUGAAAACCCAGGGCUUAACCCUGGGCCUGCUUCCGAUACGGGCAGACUAGAGGUAUGCAGGGGAGAACGGAAUUCCUGGUGUAGCGGUGAAAUGCGCAGAUAUCAGGAGGAACACCGGUGGCGAAGGCGGUUCUCUGGGCAUUACCUGACGCUGAGGAGCGAAAGUGUGGGGAGCGAACAGG